UUACAGCCAUAUCACGUUAAAACAUCGGUUCUCGUGCGAUCAUCGUAGUUAAGCAACGUCGAGCCUGGUCAGUGCCUAGAUGGGUGACCGCUUGGAAAUACCAGGUGCUGUAAGC
rnacentral:rRNA from 1 species